AUUGAACGCUGGCGGCAUGCUUUACACAUGCAAGUCGAACGGUAACAGGUUAAGCUGACGAGUGGCGAACGGGUGAGUAAUGCAUCGGAACGUGCCCGGUCGUGGGGGAUAACGCAGCGAAAGCUGCGCUAAUACCGCAUACGACCUGAGGGUGAAAGCAGGGGAUCGCAAGACCUUGCGUUAUACGAGCGGCCGAUGUCAGAUUAGCUAGUUGGUGAGGUAAAGGCUCACCAAGGCGACGAUCUGUAGCGGGUCUGAGAGGAUGAUCCGCCACACUGGGACUGAGACACGGCCCAGACUCCUACGGGAGGCAGCAGUGGGGAAUUUUGGACAAUGGGGGCAACCCUGAUCCAGCCAUGCCGCGUGAGUGAAGAAGGCCUUCGGGUUGUAAAGCUCUUUCGGCCGGGAAGAAAUCGCACAGGCUAAUACUCUGUGUGGAUGACGGUACCGGCAUAAGAAGCACCGGCUAACUACGUGCCAGCAGCCGCGGUAA
rnacentral:rRNA from 1 species